rnacentral:lncRNA from 1 species
CAUUCCUUAGCAUCAGGUGGUCUAUUUUAUCUAAUUAUUUCAUUGACAGUCUGAUUUGCGUCAUUAUUGCUGUUUAUAUUUCUCGACAAAUUAGUCUUGAAGAUAGCAUUUGCAUAGUAUUCCUUGCUUUUGUUUAUUACUUUUAUUUGCUUUAUUUGAAAGCAAAAUCCUUGCUACCAAAUGCUCCAAAAGUUUUACAAUAAUAAUAAUAGUAAUAAUAAAGGGUUUCAUUGUACAUGUUGCUCAGUCUUGUCAUUUUUUCUUGGAUUACAACAUAAGCAAUACCUCAAGGAUUCUUAGAUUUAUUUCUAAGCUCAAACCCAGUUCAUACUGUUCAGGCUUCUAGGUCUUCGGCCCAAGCUCGGUGCUGCGGUCUUUUAUUGAGUCAAGGGGCCGCCAUUUGGAGAAGUCUUCUGGUCUUUAAAUAGACUCCUCUAUUUUGGAUUUUGAGAGAAAAAAAUUGAAGUACAGCAGGAAGAUAUAUAAACAUAGAGGAGCCAUCUAGUGUUUUUUGGCUGUUAGUGACAAGAUUUGAUCUGGCUAGAAUUUGAUUACAAACUUAUGUGACACCAAACAGUUCAUGGUAAUGACUUUAGACUUCAUUUUGUAAGUUUGAUCAAAAUGACGUUUUGGAUUCUAACCAAAACCUAGC